rnacentral:lncRNA from 1 species
AAUUCCACCUGCAACCCUAAUUCCCUUUGUUACGUAGCAUAACAUAUUGACAGGUUCUCAGGACGUCUUUAGCAGGGGCCUUUAUUCUGCCAAUCACAUGAUCUCUAUGAAUCUGCUUCUUGUUUUUUUUUAAUUGGGUGACAUUAAAUUCUGAUUUCUUUCUUUCUUUUUUUUUUUUCUCUAGGGAGUCGUCUCUCAAGAGGACUUGAUCUCUGGCCUGUGAACUGCCCCACAUGUUUCUUCUGCACAUCCUGACUCCCAGGCCUGCACAGGGGACUUCUGCACAGGCCUGACUCCCAGGCCUGACAUUUUCUGGUCUGUCUUCGCCAUGGUCUGCUAUCAACUGCAGUUUUGAAUUCUGGUUUCUCUUAUUCUUUGUCUCUAGGCAAGUCAACAGGUUCAGCAGCCAGAGUCCUAUCCUGUACUUCUCUUCACGUUGCAGACAUCCACGAAAGAGUGAGACUGUUUUCGGUUGGAUUGAAGAGCAAAUGUGUGGAAGGCACCAAGAGACAGGAUCUCACUAUGUUUCCCAAGUUGGUCUUGAACUUCUGGCCUCAAGCAAUUCUCUUGCCUUGGCCUCCCAAAAUUCUGGAAUUAUAGGCAUGAGUCACCAGAAACGGCCCACUUUAUUUACUUCUGUGAUGCCUAUACAUUGUGUUAUCAAUAAAACUUGAGAUUCUGUAACUGA